rnacentral:rRNA from 1 species
UACGUAGGGAGCAAGCGUUGUUCGGAUUUACUGGGCGUAAAGGGCGCGUAGGCGGCGCGGUAAGUCACUUGUGAAAUCUCUGAGCUUAACUCAGAACGGCCAAGUGAUACUGCAGUGCUAGAGUGCAGAAAGGGCAAUCGGAAUUCUUGGUGUAGCGGUGAAAUGCGUAGAUAUCAAGAGGAACACCUGAGGCGAAGGCGGGUUGCUGGGCCAACACUGACGCUGAGGCGCGAAAGCCAGGGGAGCAAACGGG